CUUCAUGAUGUACCAGCAGGGCUGCUUUGCCGGCGGCACGGUACUCCGCUUUGCCAAGGACCUCGCUGAGAAUAACCGCGGUGCGCGCGUACUUGUCGUCUGUUCUGAGAUUACUGCUGUCACUUUCCGGGGACCAUCAGAGAGCCACCUCGACAGCCUUGUCGGCCAGGCGCUCUUCGGUGACGGAGCAGCUGCCGUCAUCGUCGGGUCCGAUCCCGACACUUCUGUGGAGCGGUCGCUCUUCCAAAUAGUCUCGGCCAGCCAGACCAUUCUCCCGGAUUCGGAGGGUGCCAUUGACGGCCACCUCCGGGAAGUCGGACUUACCUUCCACCUCCUCAAGGACGUCCCCGGGUUGAUCUCUAAGAACAUAGAGAAGAGCCUGGUGCAGGCUUUUGCGCCGCUGGGGAUCACGGACUGGAACUCCAUCUUCUGGAUUGCUCAUCCCGGUGGUCCGGCCAUUCUUGAUCAGGUGGAGCUGAAGCUGGCGCUUGAGAAAAAGAAGAUGCGGGCCACAAGGCAUGUGC
rnacentral:misc_RNA from 1 species